CCUACGGGAGGCAGCAGUGAGGAAUAUUGGUCAAUGGACGAGAGUCUGAACCAGCCAAGUAGCGUGAAGGAUGACUGCCCUAUGGGUUGUAAACUUCUUUUAUAUGGGAAUAAAAUGUUCCACGUGUGGGAUUUUGUAUGUACCCUAUGAAUAAGGAUCGGCUAACUCCGUGCCAGCAGCCGCGGUAAUACGGAGGAUCCGAGCGUUAUCCGGAUUUAUUGGGUUUAAAGGGAGCGUAGGUGGAUUGUUAAGUCAGUUGUGAAAGUUUGCGGCUCAACCGUAAAAUUGCAGUUGAAACUGGCAGUCUUGAGUACAGUAGAGGUGGGCGGAAUUCGUGGUGUAGCGGUGAAAUGCUUAGAUAUCACGAAGAACUCCGAUUGCGAAGGCAGCUCGCUGGACUGCAACUGACACUGAGGCUCGAAAGUGUGGGUAUCAAACAGGAUUAGAUACCCCUGUAGUC
rnacentral:rRNA from 1 species